GAUGAACGCUGGCGGCGUGCCUAAUACAUGCAAGUCGAGCGAACAGACGAGGAGCUUGCUCCUCUGACGUUAGCGGCGGACGGGUGAGUAACACGUGGAUAACCUACCUAUAAGACUGGGAUAACUUCGGGAAACCGGAGCUAAUACCGGAUAAUAUAUUGAACCGCAUGGUUCAAUAGUGAAAGACGGUUUUGCUGUCACUUAUAGAUGGAUCCGCGCCGCAUUAGCUAGUUGGUAAGGUAACGGCUUACCAAGGCAACGAUGCGUAGCCGACCUGAGAGGGUGAUCGGCCACACUGGAACUGAGACACGGUCCAGACUCCUACGGGAGGCAGCAGUAGGGAAUCUUCCGCAAUGGGCGAAAGCCUGACGGAGCAACGCCGCGUGAGUGAUGAAGGUCUUCGGAGCGUAAAACUCUGUUAUUAGGGAAGAACAAAUGUGUAAGUAACUAUGCACGUCUUGACGGUACCUAAUCAGAAAGCAACGGCUAACUACGUG
rnacentral:rRNA from 1 species